rnacentral:rRNA from 1 species
AUUGAACGCUGGCGGCAGGCCUAACACAUGCAAGUCGAACGAGUGGCGGACGGGUGAGUAAUGUCUGGGAAACUGCCCGAUGGAGGGGGAUCACUACUGGAAACGGUAGCUAAUACCGCAUACCAUCGGAUGUGCCCAGGUGGGAUUAGCGAGUAGGUGGGGUAACGGCUCACCUAGGCGACGGUCCCUAGCUGGUCUGAGAGGAUGACCAGCCAAACUGGAACUGGGCAACGGUCCAGACUCCUACGGGAGGCAGCAUUGGGGAAUAUUGCACAAUGGGCGAAAGCCUGAUGCAGCCAUGCCGCGGGGAUGAAGAAGGCCUUCGGGUUGUAAAGUACUUUCAGCGGGGAGGCGUUACUCGAAGAAGAAGCAACGGCUAACUCCGUGCCAGCAGCCGCGGUAAUAC